rnacentral:piRNA from 1 species
UGAUUGUAACUAAGCCACUAAUGGAGAC